GAGGUUUAGGGGGUACGGGGACCUGGGGCCCGGGGGGGCGCGGUUUACGGGGCGCGGGGACCUGGAGCCCGAGGGGCGCGGUUUAGGGGGUGCAGGGACUUGGAACGUGGGGGGGGCGCGGGAACCUGGAGCCCGGGGCCGGGAGCUGCGGACGCUGGGGCCAGGGCGAUCCCUGAGGCCGCGCCGCCGAGGGACUCAGUCCCGGCCCCGCCGCCCUGGCCGGCCUGGGUUCCGAGGGCGACCCGGACCCCACGGAGGCCGCGGGCGCACGGGGUUCCUCACCUGGGUCCGCGGAGGCUUGGGGGUCCGGGCGGGGCCCGGGAGUUUCCUUGGCCGAGUGACUCAGUCGGGCGGGCCGGGAAUGCGCCAGGAAACGCUCGGCCUCCUCCCCUUCCUCCCGGGGCGGGGGCUCUCCCGGCUCGGCCUCUUCCUCCCGGCGCUCCUCCCUCCCGGCCGCGGCCCCUGCCGCUCCCUCCUCCCGCGGGGCUUCCCCCCGGCAGGCCCUUCCCCGCCGCCGAGUGGAGAGCCGGAGACCCGCCGGCCUGGACCACCUCAGCCGGCGCGGGACGGCGGGGUCGGGGCGGAGCGGGCGCGGGGUGGCCCUGUGGGCCCGUCCGCUCGGAGGGCGGAGGAAUGGGGUCCGCACCGUGUCCCGGGUCGAGGCGUGGGGUCAGGGCGGGGAGUGGGGUCGCCCUGGGCUGCGUGGCGGGCUCGGGAACUCCGAGGGUCCCAUCUGGCGGCGCCGCCGCGCGGGCAGGAGGCGCGCACCUGCGCUGGGCGGGCGGGUCCGAGCCCGCUGGGGAACCCUCCCCGCCCUCGCCCGGUCGCCUGAGGGAGCCGGGGCAGACGCGGGCGCACCUGGGGAACGGCGCACGGAGGAAAACCUGGCGUGACACCGUCCCAGAAAACAAUCGUGAAAGUGAAGUCCAGACCUCCCACGGAAACGCUGAGCCGGAGUCUUGCUCUGUCGCCCAGGCUGGAGUGCAGCAGUAGCAUGAUCUGAGUUCACUGCAGCCUCUGCCUCUCGGGUUCAAGCGAUUCUCCUGCCUCAGGACCACAUGUGUCUCCUACCUGGAACCACAGGCAUGGCAACAUUCUUCAUAACAGCUAAAGUGUGGAAGUAACCAAGUGUCCACUGGCAGAUGAAGGAUGAACAAAAGGUAGUACAUCUGUACAAUGGAGUAUUACUCAGAUUUAAAAGUGGAGAAACUCACAUGCUGCCACGUGGACGGACCUUGACACUGCUGUACUAAAUGAGAUGGGCCUGGCAUAAAAGCAGCAGCGCCGUGUGACUGUACUCAGAUGAGGUGCCAAGGAGUCAUAUUUGUGGGACAGGAAGUGGGAUGGUGACUGCCAGGGUCUGGGGACGAGGGAAUGGGAGUUGUUGAAUGGGUACAGGGUUUCAGGUCUACAAGAUGAGUUCUGGAUAUGGAUGGUGGUGAUGGUUGCACAGCAAUGUGAAUAGACAACACUACUAUGCACUGAAAAUGGCUAAGAUGGUAAAUUUUAUGCGUAUUUUACCACACAAAUAAAAAUCAAAACAUUAAAUAAUGAAAAAAAGUU
rnacentral:lncRNA from 13 species